rnacentral:rRNA from 1 species
UACAGAGGUCUCAAGCGUUGUUCGGAUUCAUUGGGCGUAAAGGGUGCGUAGGCGGCGCGGUAAGUCGGGUGUGAAAUCUCGGAGCUUAACUCCGAAACUGCAUUCGAUACUGCCGUGCUUGAGGACUGGGAGAGGAGACUGGGAAUUUACGGGUGUAGCGGUGAAAUGCGUAGAUAUCGUAAGGAAGACCAGUGGCGAAGGC